rnacentral:rRNA from 1 species
UCCCUAAAAUAAAAAGAUGCCGGAUAAUACAAAUAAACAUUUAAAAACCAAAGAACUUGGCGGUGUCUUAUACUAUCAGGGGAACCUGUCCCUUAAUACGAUAAUCCACGAACGCUCAAACUCCUCUUGAAUUACAGCCUGUGUACUGCCGUCUAAAGUACACCUUUAAAAGUCAGCGUACAAAAAUAUACCUACUGACGUCAGGUCAAAGUGCAGCCUAUGAGAAGCUGGAGAUGGGUUACACACUAAACAAAAGCUACCAACCCUUAUUAAUAAAUAUGGUCAAAGCUGGACUUGAAAGUAAUAAAACCACCAAAAUUUUAUGAAUAGGAAUCUAAGACAUGCACACAUCGCCCGUCACUCUCGUCGAAAGAUG